rnacentral:lncRNA from 1 species
AUCAAAAGUAACAGUCAGUAUCUGGUGUGGCCACCAGCUGCAUUAAGUACUGCAGUGCAUCUCCUCCUCAUGGACUGCACCAGAUUUGUCAGUUCUUGCUGUGAGAUGUUACCCCACUCUUCCACCAAGGCACCUGCAACUUCCCAGACAUUUCUGGGGGGAAUGGCCCUAGCCCUCACCCUCCGAUCCAACAGGUCCCAGAUGUGCUCAAUGGGAUUGAGAUCCGGGCUCUUCGCUGGCCAUGGCAGAACACUGACAUUUCUGUCUUGCAGGAAAUCACACACAGAACGGACAGUAUGGCUGGUGGUAUUGUCAUGCUGGAGGGUCAUGUCAGGAUGAGCCUGUAGGAAGGGUACCACAUGAGGGAGGAGGAUCUCCUCCCUGUAACGCACAGCGUUGAGAUUGCCUGCAUGACAACAAGCUCAGUUCGAUGAUGCUGACACACCGCCCCAGACCAUGACGGACCCUCCACCUCCAAAUCGAUCCCGCUCCAGAGUACAGGGCUUGGUGUAAUGCUCAUUCCUUUGACGAUAAACGCAAAUCCGACUAUCACCCCUGGUGAGACAAAACCGCGACUCGUCAGUGAAGAGCAUUUUUUUCCAGUCCUGUCUGAUCCAGCGACGGUGGGUUUGUGCCCAUAGGCGACGUUGUUGCCGGUGAUGUCUGGUGAGGACCUGCCUUACAACAGGCCUACAAGCCCUCAGUCCAGCCUCUCUCAGCCUAUUUGCUGACAAUCUGAGCACUGAUGGAGGGAUUGCGCGUUCCUGGUGUAACUCGGGCAGUUGUUGUUGCCUUCCUGUACCUGUCCCGCAGGUGUGAUGUUCGGAUGUUCCGAUCAUGUCCAGGUGUUGUUACACAUGGUCUGCCACUGCGAGGAAGGUCAGCUGUCCGUCCUGUCUCCCUGUAGCGCUGUCUUAGGCGUCUCACAGUACGGACAUUGCAAUUUAUUGCCCUGGCCACAUUUGCAGUCCUCAUGCCUCCUUGCAGCAUGCCUAAGGCACGUUCAUGCAGAUGAGUAGGGACCCUGGGCAUCUUUCUUUUGGUGUUUUUCAGAGUCAGUAGAAAGGCCUCUUAAGUGUCCUAAGUUUUCAUAACUGUGACCUUAAUUGCCUGCCGUCUGUAAGCUGUUAGUGUCUUAACCACCGUUCCACAGGUACAUGUUCAUUAAUUGUUUAUGGUUCAUUGAACAAGCAUGGGAAACAGUGUUUAAACCCUUUACAAUGAAGAUCUGUGAAGUUAUUUUGAUUUUUACAGAUUCUUUGAAAGACAGGGUCCUGAAAAGGGAUGUUUCUUUUUUUGAGUUUAUGUUCCAAAGUUGUCUCUAAGUACGCAUGUACAGCUCAGUGACAAUACAGAAAAGGGAAUGGGUAGUUGUUGGUUUUAAUUAGACUAAUUGUGAAUAAGAGAAAUCUGUUAAUGAUAAUGAUGUGAAUGAUAAAACAAAUCAUGGCGAUUAGAGGAAUGUCAAAUGUUGCCUGACUGGAGUCAUAGACUCCAUAAGGUUCUUUAUUUAACUCUGUAGCCCUUUACACUUGUAACCGGAUACGGGUUGAAAAUGGCAGAUUUGGACACUGAUAAAUGCCUACAUCAGAACGCAGUAGUUGUAUAGUAAAAAAAAAGUUGAUAUUCUUUACCUUUAUCUAACUAUGCAAGCCAGUUAAGAGCAAAUUCUUAUUUUACAAUGACGGCCUACCCUGGCCAAACCCUACCCGGACGACGCUGGGCCAAUUGUGCACCGCCCUAUAGGACUCCCAAUCACAGCUGGUUGUGAUACAGCCCGGGAUAAAACCAGGGUCUGUAGUGACACCUCUAGCACUGAGAUGCAGUAACUUAGACUGCUGCACCACUCGGGAGCCCAUGCAAUACAUGACAUCAGAGCUCAGUGGCUGUACAGUAACAUGCUAUAAUGACAUCAGAGCUCAGUGGCUGUACAGUAACAUUCUAUAAUGACAUCAGAGCUCAGUGGCUGUACAGUAACAUGCUAUAAUGACAUCAGAGCUCAGUGGCUGUACAGUAACAUGCUAUUCAUGAGUUCAGAGUUCAGUGGCUGCACAGUAACAUGCUAUAAUGACGUCAGAGCUCAGUGGCUGUACAGUAACAUGCUAUAAUGACAUCAGAGCUCAGUGGCUGUACAGUAACAUGCUAUUCAUGAGUUCAGAGCUCAGUGGCUGUACAGUAACAUGCUAUUCAUGAGUUCAGAGCUCAGUGGCUGUUCAGUAACAUGCUAUAAUGACGUCAAAGCUCAGUGGCUGUACAGUGUCAUGACGUUGGCCUGUGGGUAAGGUUUAUGACCCCCCCCCCAUAAAUACCUUUCUCCCUUCCCCUCUCUGACCGUACUGAAGGACUUGAAUAGCCUGUGUUAAAUAUAGAGAGUCUGGGAACAUCAAACAAAUGGGGAAAGGAACCAUAUUUUGGUAAUAAAACCAGUUGGAAAUAUGCUUUGGAACGUAAUGAGUAUGGAUGUCAGUUCGUUGUUAUCUGAAACAUUAUGAUUGAUGACAGGACGACAUAAACUGUACCUGAGAAAGUAUACACCCUCUAGUUAUCAGAGUAACAUGGAAUUGUUAUGCAAUUGAAAUGUUUGAUAUUGAAAUUGUUUGUUAGGAGAUGAAAUGUAAUUUUAGCUUCCAAAUGAGAGAUUUGGGUUUUCAUAAGGAAAGUGCCCUGCUUGAUCAGUGGCCCACCCCUGUGAAGAGGAGGGGUUAUAAACGAUGAAACACAUCCUUCCCCCCUCUCCACUAUAUAAGCCUUUGACGAAAAGAUAACCGUGUGGUUCCAGUACGGGAGGUCUGCAGCCUCUACGUUAGAAGGACACACAUGUCAAGUACAGAACUAAGCCAACCUCGGCAUGAGCUUUGGUGGCGAAUGGUAUGAACUUUGAGCUUAUUCACUACAGAAGUGAUACUUCCUAGCCGUUGAGUUAGCAGCGGCCGCUGUAGACGUGGGCUAGGAAAGGACGGACGACGGAUCCAGUCUAACAAACAGACGAAGAUACCACCACGUAUCCAAUUGACCACCAUUGACAUUCUUCCGAAAACAGGAAGAUCUGUUGGUCAACCCGGCCAGCAUCUACGACC